rnacentral:lncRNA from 1 species
GCUCUCACUAUCCAUAUUAUAUACCAGGGACAUAAACAUAUGUAACCUCAAAUGCUUCUUGUUUAGUAACUAAUGGUAAAGAGUUAAGUUGGGGGACAAAAAUAAAUAUGUAAGCUCUAACAAUGUUAUUCUGUAUUCUACUAGGAUUAAAAACGAAUUGCUUUGGGUCAACAGAGGAUGAAGAAACUUAUUUUGACUGAAGUUACUAGAUGAGAUACGGCUAUGACAACUUUAGAGGAGGCAUAUGAAUUAUUUCUGAGAUGCCCUUGUCAAGAAGAGAGAAUGUGGGCAGAGGUAUGGUAUUUUACUCUUGAUCCUUAACAAAUUUUCAUGUAAUCUUCUACUUCUUCUCUCACAUAUUGCCUACCUCCCAUUAAGUAUCUCCCAUUUUCUGGCUUAAUAGAAGGGACUCUGAAGAUUUAGACAAGAUAAUCUUUAGACACCAAAUGGAAAAAAACCUGUGUUCCUAAAGGAUGGAAUGCAACAAUCUUGAAAAGUCAGUCAGCAGCUUAUUAGACUUAAAAGAGGAAGAAAUAAACUGCUGUUAUAUAAAAGCACUGUGAUUUCAGUGUUUUUCUGUUAUAGCAGAAGUUACAUUGACUAGUCAUAC